CCAAUAGCGUAUAUUAAAGUUGUUGCAGUUAAAAAGCUCGUAGUUGAAUUUCGGGGUUCAUCCGUUGGUCGGGCUUUUUGGUCUGUACUGGCGUGAUGGAUUCCUACCUUCUGAAUAACCGGCAUGUCAUUAAUUUGGUGCGCCGGGGAAGCAGGACUGUUACCUUGAAAAAAUUAGAGUGCUUAAAGCAGGCUAUCGCCUGAAUACAUUAGCAUGGAAUAAUGAAAUAGGACGGCAUGGUUCUAUUUUGUUGGUUUCUAGGAUCACCGUAAUGAUUAAUAGGGAUAGUUGGGGGCAUUAGUAUUCAAUUGUCAGAGGUGAAAUUCUUGGAUUUAUUGAAGACUAACUUCUGCGAAAGCAUUUGCCAAGGAUGUUGUCAUUAAUCAAGAACGAAAGUUAGGGGAUCGAAGACGAUCAGAUACCGUCGUAGUCUUAACCAUAAACUAUGCCGACUAGGGAUCGGACGAUGUUAAUUUUUUAAUGACUCGUUCGGCGCCUUACG
rnacentral:rRNA from 1 species